rnacentral:rRNA from 1 species
CACGCAGGCUGAAUUAUAAGUCGGUAGUCAAAGGCGGAGGCUCAACUUCCGUUUAUCUAUCGAAACUGUAAAUCUAGAGUAUGUGAGAGGGAAGUGGAAUUCCGGUGUAGCGGUGAAAUGCGUAGAUAUCGGGAGGAACACCAGUGGCGAAGGCGGCUUCCUGGCACAAUACUGACGCUCAUGUGCGAAGGCUAGGGUAGCGAACG